rnacentral:lncRNA from 1 species
GUUAGAAUUGUUGGCGGCUGCUUUUGUCACUGUGUGAAGUAGGCCCCUUGAGGCCACCAAUCAUGUGGAGGGAAGCCAAGUGAAAAAUGGAAAUCAAGAAGCCCAGAGGAUGUCACUAUAUCUGCUGGAUCCAGCUGUGCCUGAAGCCAGUGCCCCGCCUAGACUUGCCAGUGUCAUGAGAUAAGCUCCUGCUCUUCACAAGUGCAUUUUAGUUAAGUUUCUGCAACCAACAAAAGGCCUGAUGUAGCACUGCUUCAUGAGAAAUAUACAUAAUGCAUCUUAGCUAUUUAUUUGUGCUCAAUUUGAGAAAUAAAAUACAUAGGAAAGAAAAAAGAAUGCAAAAUGAUAAAAAUUAAAUAGGUACUUGAAACCAGAUACUUCUGGUCUAUUUUCCAGAUUUAAUACUUUAAAUAUUUUAAUUUUUUAUCUCUUUGCUUAUUUAUUUAUUUAUUUUUGAGACAGAGUCUUUCUCUGUCAUCCAGGCUGGAGUGCAGUGGUUCAAUCUCAGCUCACUGCAAUCUCCAACCUCUACCUCCUGGGCUCAACCAUCCUCCCACUUCAGCCUCCCAUGUAGCUGGGACCACAGGUGUUCACCACGAUGCCAGCCUAAUUUUUGUAUUUUUUGUAGAGACGGGUUUCACCAUGUUACCUAGGCUGGUCUCGAAUUCCUGGGUUUAAGCAAUUCACCUCCCUGGGCCUCCCAAAGUGCUGGGAUUACAGGUGUGAGGUACCAUACCCAGUUUCUUCUUACUUAGAUUUAAGGUAAUCACUGUUUCCCUUAACGUCACUAAGAAAAUAAAGUUUAAAGAAUAGUAAGGGGUCAUGCAUUUGAGAGAGGUCAUUGCUUUAAAGAUUUUUUCUGUAUUAACUCAUUCCAUUCAUUCAUUCAAUCAUCAAAGGAAUAGACUUAAAUUUAAAUCAUAAUACAAUUCCUUCCUCUACGCAUGAAAUGUAGGAAAUUUCCACUAAGAAAGGAUUACCCUGUGCAGCUUUUCCUAAACAAGCAUAUCUUACUCACUUGCAUGAUAAAUGCACAAAAAGGUGCAUGAAUCGGAAGUCUACAGAGUGGCAGAUCUUCAAAAGUUCUUCAGUGCUUCAAGAAAGCUGCAUUUACACACCUUCCAUAAAAUGCAGGUCAGUGUGUGUUUGGGGGUGGGGAUGCUGCAAGAAAAUCGAAGAUGCAGAAAGCAGGGGCCUUACAAUUAGAGUCCUCUGCAUUCCCAGAAAGGGACUGUGUCCCCUAACACAAAAGCUGUGUAAAACAGAAACAGGGCAUCUCUGAAUAACGAGGGCUGCCCUCCGGAAGCUCCUCAUCAAUCUCCUCAAAACCCACUGAAGUAUGCUUGUAAGAACUGGAGCAGCUGGGAGUGUCUUUCGUGAACUGGUUCCUAACUUCUGACUACUAAUAAAUCCUAGAGGUGGGGGUCUGGCUUACAUUAUUCAGCACAUUAUGGAUAAUCCCACGCGGCUUGUCACCUACUGCAGCUCGUAAAUGUUUUCUGGCUAAUUAAGCUGAAGAAAUGGCCUAUCUUCCACUUACAUAGCUGAUGUUUUAUAUGUCAAUAUAAUACUGGAACUUGUCCAUUCUGAACAACACAUUUGACUUCUUAUUUCCCUUCUUUAAAGUCCAUUUGGAUUCCAAUAUUUAAAGGAGUUAUCAAUUUCAUCUAUCCAAGUCUAUUUAUAAGUUUAUUUCCUACCUAUCCCUCUAUUCCAUUUCUAAGUUUUGCAUCAAAAUAACUAGAAGGGGGCUGGGCGUGGUGGCUCAGGCCUGUAAUUCCAGCACUUUGGGAGGCCAAGGUGGGCAGUUCAGCUGAGGUCAGGAGUUCAAGACUAGCCUGGCAAACAUGGCAAAACCCCGUCUCUACCAAAAAUACAAAAAAUUAGCCAGGCAUGAUGGUGGGUGCCUGUAAUCCCAGCUACUUGGGAAGCUGAGGUGGGAAAAUCGCUUGAACCCAGGAGGCGGAGGUUGUAGUGAGCCGAGAUCACACCACUGCACUCCAGGUUUUAUUUUCUUAAACUACA